GAUGAACGCUGGCGGCGUGCCUAAUACAUGCAAGUCGAGCGAACAGACGAGGAGCUUGCUCCUCUGACGUUAGCGGCGGACGGGUGAGUAACACGUGGAUAACCUACCUAUAAGACUGGGAUAACUUCGGGAAACCGGAGCUAAUACCGGAUAAUAUAUUGAACCGCAUGGUUCAAUAGUGAAAGACGGUUUUGCUGUCACUUAUAGAUGGUUCCGCGCCGCAUUAGCUAGUUGGUAAGGUAACGGCUUACCAAGGCAACGAUGCGUAGCCGACCUGAGAGGGUGAUCGGCCACACUGGAACUGAGACACGGUCCAGACUCCUACGGGAGGCAGCAGUAGGGAAUCUUCCGCAAUGGGCGAAAGCCUGACGGAGCAACGCCGCGUGAGUGAUGAAGGUCUUCGGAUCGUAAAACUCUGUUAUUAGGGAAGAACAAAUGUGUAAGAAACUAUGCACGUCUUGACGGUACCUAAUCAGAAAGCCACGGCUAACUACGUG
rnacentral:rRNA from 1 species